AGAUCAUCAGGUGGAGGAAAGAAAGGAGGAAAAGAUUGGUGGAGCCGAAUGCAAAAGUCACUCAGAUUAUUACCAGUUGCUUGCAGGUGCUGGUCCAGUAACGGCCCAGUGUGUCAUCACCGCUGAUUAAUACGAAAAGGGGAAGAAAUCGAUGCAGCAUAGUAUUGUGAUAUUUUGUUUGACACUAUUUUAUUGGUACACGGACGCCAAGUAAUGUAUUUUUCUGCAAGUUUUUGAAGCCUCCUGGAACAAUGAAUAAAUUGCUUUUUGGAUACA